GCUUCGGUGAUCGAAUGACUUAAGACGCUGGUACGGAAUACAAGAGAUCCGGGUUCAAGUCCCGGCCGAGGUA
rnacentral:tRNA from 1 species